UUCCAUAUUUGCAUCACAAAACAAAGAAAAAGAUAGGUAGCAAAGAAGAAGAGAAAUCAUCAGAUAAGUUAAGCUAGUACAAUUAAUAAAUUAUACAGAUGGAGAUCGUUGGAAGCAGAAACCUCAUGAUUUCAAUGGCGUUUCUCAUGGCUAUUAUUUUGGUGCAAGGAGCCUCAACUGCGCAUGCUAAUGAUGUGCCUCCGAAUCUCGACUACGAGACAUGCUUCAAGGAGUGUAUGUUCAUGUCCGGGUGCAAAACACUACCCCCCAAAGAAUCCAAAAUGUGCACAUCACAGUGCAAGGAGAUGUGCCGCCACCAUCUCCGAGCCAGUGCCCCGUCUCCCUCUGUUGGUACUCCAGGUCCGGCCUCUGUUCAUUCCAAUAGCGUCAUUUAAGGUUCUGAUGAUGUAAGAAAGAGGACCGUGAUGCAAUCUGCCCUGGGGUUUUAAGAUUCUACAUAGUAUGGGUCUAAAUGUAAUGAACAAGGCAUUAUAAUAGCCAGAAAAUCAUAUAUUAAUCCUUUUAUAUAGAAAGGCCAGAAAAUCAUAUGAAACAACUCUAUUUUAGCAAUCAAGUUGUAAUUGAUCGUGGGGAAUAAAUAAUAGGUUGCUCAUUUUCUUUAGUUGGGCACUUAAAAAAUUGAGAGAUUCUCUUAUUUGUCUGUUCUAUCAAUUGAUGGAGAAGGCUUUUGGUGAUCCAAUCUUGCUACAUGAUGUGAGCGACAAUUAAUAAAUGUAUGCCUUAAGACG